rnacentral:rRNA from 1 species
GAGUUUGAUCGUGGCUCAGAGUGAACGCUGGCGGCAGGCCUAACACAUGCAAGUCGAGCGGCAGCGCGGGGGCAACCCUGGCGGCGAGCGGCGGACGGGUGAGGAAUGCAUCGGAAUCUACCUCGUUGUGGGGGAUAACCUCGGGAAACCGGGACUAAUACCGCAUACGACCUACGGGUGAAAGUGGGGGACCGCAAGGCCUCACGCGAUGAGAUGAGCCGAUGCCGGAUUAGCUAGUUGGCGGGGUAAAGGCCCACCAAGGCGACGAUCCGUAGCUGGUCUGAGAGGAUGAUCAGCCACACUGGAACUGAGACACGGUCCAGACUCCUACGGGAGGCAGCAGUGGGGAAUAUUGGACAAUGGGCGCAAGCCUGAUCCAGCCAUGCCGCGUGUGUGAAGAAGGCC